CAGGCAUUCAGCACACUAUCAAAUCCAUCACAUGCUUGUUGGUUCCUUCCUUCAGUCAGACAUGGUAUAUUUAAAGUUCUUUGCAGUUCCUCAAGAGGUGUGGAAAAAUAUUUUAUAUCUCUGUAGAAAAGCACCUCAGUUCCAAUUAAAAGAUCAUUCCAGUAUACAUGUGGAGAGCCAGCAGAAGAGAGUUUGUAAUUAAUUGCAGCGUCCCCAGAGAAACAAUA
rnacentral:lncRNA from 1 species